GACAGAGGGUGCAAACGUUGUUCGGAAUUACUGGGCGUAAAGCGCGUGUAGGCGGCUUUGCAAGUCGGGUGUGAAAGCCCUCAGCUUAACUGAGGAAGUGCGCCCGAAACUGCAGAGCUCGAGUACCGGAGAGGAUGGCGGAAUUCCCCAAGUAGAGGUGAAAUUCGUAGAUAUGGGGAGGAACACCGGUGGCGAAGGCGGCCAUCUGGACGGAUACUGGACGCUGAGACGCGAAAGCGUGGGUAGCAAACAGG
rnacentral:rRNA from 1 species